rnacentral:rRNA from 1 species
UACGUAGGGUGCAAGCGUUGUCCGGAAUUAUUGGGCGUAAAGGGCGCGUAGGCGGCCAGCACAAGUCAGUUGUGAAAUCUCCGGGCUUAACUCGGAAAGGUCAACUGAUACUGUGCGGCUAGAGUGCAGAAGGGGCAACUGGAAUUCUCGGUGUAGCGAUGAAAUGCGUAGAUAUCGAGAGGAACACCUGCGGCGAAGGCGGGUUGCUGGGCUGACACUGACGCUGAUGCGCGAAAGCCAGGGGAGCGAACGGG